rnacentral:tRNA from 1 species
GCCUGGGUGGCUCAGUCGGUUGAGCGUCCGACUUUGGCUCAGGUCACAAUCUCAUAGUUUGUGGGUUUGAGCCCCGCAUCAGGCU